GUCUUUUAAUUGAAGGCUGGUAUGAAUGGUUAGAUGAAAAAUAUACUUUCUUUAUUUUAUAAUAAAAAUUUAAUUUUUUAGUUAAAAAGCUAAAAUUAUUUUAUAGGACGAGAAGACCCUAUAGAACUUUAUUUUCUAAAUAUAUAUUUUUUAUGGUUUUAUAAAAUUUUAUAUUUUUAUGUUAAUUUUAUUGGGGCGAUUGAAAAAAUUAUAUAACUUUUUCUAUAUUUAUCAUUUAUUUAUGUUAUUUUGAUCCUUUAAUAUGGAUAAUAAGAUUAAGUUACCUUAGGGAUAACAGCGUUAUUUUUUUGGAGAGUUCUUAUCGAUAAAGAAGUUUGCGACCUCGAUGUUGGAUUAAAAUAAGUGGCAGGAGUAGAAUAUUGUUUACUAGGUCUGUUCGACCUUUAAAUUUUUACA
rnacentral:rRNA from 1 species